GGGCGGCCAGGACCGGAGGCCCCGUCUCCAGAGUGGAGGAGGCCAUGAGAACCGUCAAGAAGUUCAUGGACUCAGGAGGACGUCGUGAGCAGUGCUGAGGUCAUGGAAUGUGGGCUGGGACCUUGUGUUUGGUGACAUCCUGUAAGUACUCGGCUCGCUCAAGCUAACUGCCCGGCUGGGAUCACCGCUCUAGGAGGACUCAAGAGUUCAGAUGAGUGGCCCAGGGGCCCGUCAGUGCUGUGCACCUCUCCCCCCAUGGGUGGGGGAGGAGCCUGGGGACUUGGCCAGUCCUGGAGGAGCCCUGAGACCAGGCCCUGUGGUGGGCACCACGGCACGGGGAGGUGCCUGGAGGGCUGGAGCCCACUUGGGGGGCCAUGGUCAGUCAGGGCUGCAGAAGCAGAGAAAUGCGGGAUGCCCAUGCUGGCUGGGACUCGCCCACUGCCCUGCACAUGGCGAGUGAGGGAGAGAGGCAAGGCACCUUUCCAGGGGUGCAUGGGAGGCUGCGGUCAAAGGUCCUGCACACCCGCAUGCGUGCUCACAUCUGUAGCUGCAGACACUGACCCCCAGAGACCCCCGAGCUCAUGUGGGGCUGGUG
rnacentral:lncRNA from 1 species